ensembl:lncRNA POLR1HASP POLR1H antisense, pseudogene
GAACCGUGUCUCGGGAGCGUUAGAGAUGGAGACUAACGUCUUCCAAGGGAGAUUGCGUCUCCACUUUCACCCUGGUACUGAGAGGUUGAGCACAAAAUUGGAACGCAGUCGCGGGGUAUAUCCCCCUGAAAACCGUACGUUGCCAAAUAAUGAUUUCUUUGGAUUAGAGAACUACAACUCCCCUGGGUCCUGAGCCGGUAUUUCCCUUUUGCGGCUGCACCGUAGUUAAAAACAAAGCUAAGUGUUCUGGGACGUAUAGUUCUAGCGUUCCUUGGGUCCCGCUGGCGAGCGUGGGCUUUCUGCAGCUCGCAACCGGCCUCGUGCUUUGCGGACGGUUCACUGCGCUUGGAAAGGGAUUGGCCUGGGGUACAUCAUCUAAAGAUCCUAGGAUUGCUGCAGGUCAGCAGUCUCCACUGGAAAAAAAGAUCUUGCAUGUAUUUCAAGUCCUCUGAUGAAUCAUGUGAUCUACUAGACCCUGAAGAUACAGUGAAGAGCAAAAGAACACAGAUGAAAUGAGAAACAAAAACGAUGGAGAAAACCAAAAAAGGGGACACAUGGGAUCCAGGCAAUAGGAGAGCCAGCAUAAGAGAGAGCCAGAGGGAUGCCCAGGAUGAGGUGAAGACGAUCUUGGAAAUCAGCCCAGAUGUGCAUGCACCAGUCCACGUGUGGCAGGACCAAGGGAAGUGUCUUCACAAAGAUGAGGCUUUGAUUUGUUGGAGAAACUGUUACCAGAAAAACAGGUCCCGAUCCCGACCCCAAAAGAGUAUUCUUGGAUCUUGCACAGGAAGGAAUUAAAGCCUCAUUUGGCCACAGGCCCAGUGUCAACACCAGGGGGCGCCACAGACCAUGAAGGCACCGUGCAGCUGGGAUUGUUUGUGGUCGGCUACUGGGUCCCUGACUUAACCAGGGGAGCCAAGACCCUGUAGCCAAGUGGCCUGGAUUCAACCUGCAGCUCAGGUCUUACUGACACUUCUCCCCCUGGUGCCUCAGUUUCUUAAUCUGUGAAAUGGUGAGGACAUUACAGCAUUUACCUCUGGGGCGGGUUUCUCAACAGCAGCACUAUUAACAAUUUGGGACAGAGAAUCUUGUGGAGUGGUCUGUCCUGUGCAUUGUGGGAGGUUUGCCAGCAACACCCCACUCACCCCCUCCCACCAAUCCCCAUGUGACAACCGAAAAUGUCCCAGGAUUUUUAGGUCUCCCUUGGGUCUAGAAGCUGCACUUAGGCAUUUUCCCACCUGACACUUGAGUUCAUCUCUGCUUUGGUCCACAUAAGGCCACUUUAAAAAAAUGUUGUUUCUUUAAAGAUUCUAACCAUCUUUUAAACAAAUCCAUUUUCUUCCUCUAUUUCUGCAUUCAGUUAAUCCUUCCAAACCCUUUGUUUAGUAUAUCUUGAAAUGUAUCAAUUCCUGUUCUAGUAAUUAACAUAUGUGACUUGCAUGAUAUCUGCUAUGACCCUUAGUAGAGCUCUGAUUCCUUUAGCACAGGGAAUGUGUUCUCGAUUCUGCUCUGGAUGAUGUAAAUCAAUUUAUUUUACUUUACUUGUCUGGGAUGUUGCUCCUCAUCUGUAAGAUGUAAAUGUGGAUAUGGCUUGGAUUACUAAGUGGUUUUAUUUCUUAAUUCACCUGACAUUUGUUGUGUGCCUGCUGCAAGUCAAAUACAUGGCAUGGUAUUGUUUCCUUGUUCACACCACAGCAAAUGAGAAAAUGAGACAUUAUAGCCAGGUGUGGCGGCACAGGCUUGUGGUCCUAGCUACUCGGAAGGCUGAGGCAGGAGAAUUGCUCCAGCCCAGGAGUUUGAGGUUACAGUAAGGUAUGAUAUCACCAUUGCAUUUCAACCUGGGCAACAGACCCUGUCUCUGAAAAAAGGGAAAAAGACCUUGUGAGCUGUCUACGUGUACUCUAUGUCUCAGGAGACUCAUAUCCUGUAAUUUUUCUAAAUGGCGUCUCCAUGUGGUCUUUCAUGAAUGUUUGUCUGGUAUUCUCUAUCCUUUUACUUUCAACUUUUCUUUACCUUCUACUGAAAUUAUGUCUUUUGUAAACAGCCCAUGAUUAUUUAUUUAGUUAUUUAUUUUUACCCCCCUGCACUAUUUGUCUUGUAAUUGGAGUGUCUGAGUCCAUUAUGUUUAAUGUAAUUAUUGACCUCAUUGGGUUUAAGUCUGUCCAUUGUCAUUUGCUGCCUUCUAAUAUUAUCUCUUUCUUGCUCAACUAUUUUUCUUAUGUUACCUUCUUUAGAUGAAUAAAAACCUUUGCAUUAU